UACAGAGGGUGCAAGCGUUAAUCGGAAUUACUGGGCGUAAAGCGUGCGUAGACGGUUAUGUAAGUCGGGUGUGAAAGCCCCGGGCUCAACCUGGGAAUUGCAUUCGAGACUGCAUAGCUAGGGUGCGGAAGAGGGAAGCGGAAUUUCCGGUGUAGCGGUGAAAUGCGUAGAUAUCGGAAGGAACAUCAGUGGCGAAAGCGGCUUCCUGGACCAGCACCGACGUUCAGGCACGAAAGCGUGGGGAGCAAACAGG
rnacentral:rRNA from 1 species